rfam:Deltaproteobacteria bacterium RIFOXYD12_FTLL_57_12 rifoxyd3_full_scaffold_571, whole genome shotgun sequence.
GAAAGCCGUGUGCGGGAAAACCGCACGCACGGUUUGAUGAGGGAGGGCAGGGUAAAACCUGCUCUCUACUCUAC